GACGAACGCUGGCGGCGUGCUUAACACAUGCAAGUCGAACGAAGCUUGAUUACGGAUUCUUCGGAUGAAGUAUGAUAUGACUGAGUGGCGGACGGGUGAGUAACGCGUGAGUAACCUGCCCUUCAGAGGGGGAUAGCGUUUGGAAACGAACGGUAAUACCGCAUAAUGUAUUUUGACCGCAUGAUCGAAAUACCAAAGAUUUAUCGCUGAAGGAUGGACUCGCGUCUGAUUAGGUAGUUGGUGGGGUAACGGCCUACCAAGCCGACGAUCAGUAGCCGGACUGAGAGGUUGAUCGGCCACAUUGGGACUGAGACACGGCCCAGACUCCUACGGGAGGCAGCAGUGGGGAAUAUUGCACAAUGGGCGCAAGCCUGGUGCAGCAACGCCGCGUGAAGGAAGACGGUUUUCGGAUUGUAAACUUCUGUUCUUAGUGAAGAAUAAUGACGGUAGCUAAGGAGCAAGCCACGGCUAACUACGUG
rnacentral:rRNA from 1 species